rnacentral:rRNA from 1 species
UACCUGAAGAAUAAGCAUCGGCUAACUCCGUGCCAGCAGCCGCGGUAAGACGGAGGAUGCAAGUGUUAUCCGGAAUCACUGGGCGUAAAGCGUCUGUAGGUGUUUUAAUAAGUCUGUUGUUAAAGCUUGAGGCUUAACCUCAAAAAAGCAAUAGAAACUAUUAUGAAUUGAGUGUGGUAGGGGUAGAGGGAAUUUCCAGUGGAGCGGUGAAAUGCAUAGAUAUUGGAAAGAUCACCAAUGGCGAAGGCACUCUACUGGGCCAUUACUUACACUGAGAGACGAAAGCUAGGGGAGCAAAUGGGAUUAGAUACCCCAGUAGU